ACGCUGGCGGCAGGCCUAACACAUGCAAGUCGAGCGGCAGCACGGGUACUUGUACCUGGUGGCGAGCGGCGGACGGGUGAGUAAUGCCUAGGAAUCUGCCUGGUAGUGGGGGAUAACGCUCGGAAACGGACGCUAAUACCGCAUACGUCCUACGGGAGAAAGCAGGGGACCUUCGGGCCUUGCGCUAUCAGAUGAGCCUAGGUCGGAUUAGCUAGUUGGUGAGGUAAUGGCUCACCAAGGCGACGAUCCGUAACUGGUCUGAGAGGAUGAUCAGUCACACUGGAACUGAGACACGGUCCAGACUCCUACGGGAGGCAGCAGUGGGGAAUAUUGGACAAUGGGCGAAAGCCUGAUCCAGCCAUGCCGCGUGUGUGAAGAAGGUCUUCGGAUUGUAAAGCACUUUAAGUUGGGAGGAAGGGCAGUAAAUUAAUACUUUGCUGUUUUGACGUUACCGACAGAAUAAGCACCGGCUAACUCUGUGCCAGCAGCCGCGGUAAUACAGAGGGUGCAAGCGUUAAUCGGAAUUACUGGGCGUAAAGCGCGCGUAGGUGGUUCGUUAAGUUGGAUGUGAAAUCCCCGGGCUCAACCUGGGAACUGCAUUCAAAACUGUCGAGCUAGAGUAUGGUAGAGGGUGGUGGAAUUUCCUGUGUAGCGGUGAAAUGCGUAGAUAUAGGAAGGAACACCAGUGGCGAAGGCGACCACCUGGACUGAUACUGACACUGAGGUGCGAAAGCGUGGGGAGCAAAC
rnacentral:rRNA from 1 species